AGCUUUGCGCAGUGGCAGUAUCGUAGCCAAUGAGGUUUAUCCGAGGCGCGAUUAUUGCUAAUUAAAGAUUACUUUUUUUUUAAAUUAGUACCAGAGUACUUAACCCAGAGUACUGG
ensembl:snRNA U4 U4 spliceosomal RNA